ACCAGACUCCUACGGGAGGCAGCAGUGGGGGAUAUUGCACAAUGGGGGGAACCCUGAUGCAGCGACGCCGCGUGGGUGAAGAAGCGCCUCGGCGCGUAAAGCCCUGUCAGCAGGGAAGAAAAUGACGGUACCUGAAGAAGAAGCCCCGGCUAACUACGUGCCAGCAGCCGCGGUAAUACGUAGGGGGCAAGCGUUAUCCGGAUUUACUGGGUGUAAAGGGGGCGCAGACGGCGAUGCAAGCCAGGAGUGAAAGCCCGGGGCCCAACCCCGGGACUGCUCUUGGAACUGCGUGGCUGGAGUGCAGGAGGGGCAGGCGGAAUUCCUGGUGUAGCGGUGAAAUGCGUAGAUAUCAGGAGGAACACCAGUGGCGAAGGCGGCCUGCUGGACGACAACUGACGGUGAGGCGCGAAAGCGUGGGGAGCAAACAGGAUUAGAUACCCGCGUAU
rnacentral:rRNA from 1 species